GUUGAAAAGAACUUUGAAGAGAGAGUUCAAGAGUACGUGAAACCGUUCUGGGGUAAACGGGUGGAGCCCUAAAGGUCGAACGGGGAGAUUCAUAUCCAGUCCGGUCUGUCGCACCGUGUCGUUGGGAUUUUGGGGUCGGGCCUUCGGGUCUGGCCUCGGGCCCGCGGCGCGGGUACGCGUUCAGGCGGGGGAGCGCAAUUCUCCCUUAGUAGGACGUCGCGACCCGUUGGGUGUCGGUCGAAGGCCCGGGAUGCGAGCCCGUUCCGCGGCAACGCGGGGCGGAGCCCUGGUGUCCCGGCCGACUGCCCGACGGUUUGAACGUGCGGAAUAGGCCCGCGAGUCACAUCGCGCUCGUGCCCCGUGCAAGCGUCCGGUCCAACUCGUCGUACGGACUUGUCCGUCGCGGGUGGCCCGGCGUUGUUGGCGCGGGGAUUUCUCGAGCAGUGGCCUGCUCCGGUUUGCGGCGCUUAAAACAGGGUGGCCCACCCGGCCCGUCUUGAAACACGGACCAAGGAGUCUAACAUGUGCGCGAGUCAUUGGGUACCACGAAACCCAAAGGCGUAUUGAACGAAAAGGCCGAUCUAAUCGGCUGAGGGAAGAUGGAGGCGCGCUCGCGUGCCUCCCGCAUUCCCGGGGCGUCUCGUCCUACUUCCGCUAGUCGGUCGAAGGUGAGGCGCACCAAGAGCGCACACGUUGGGACCCGAAAGAUGGUGAACUAUGCCUGGCCAGGACGAAGUCAGGGGAAACCCUGAUGGAGGUCCGUAGCGAUUCUGACGUGCAAAUCGAUCGUCGGAGCUGGGUAUAGGGGCGAAAGACUAAUCGAACCAUCUAGUAGCUGGUUCCCUCCGAAGUUUCCCUCAGGAUAGCUGGCGCUCGGAGGACCGAAUCCCAUGCGGUAAAGCGAAUGAUUGGAGGCCUUGGGGUCGAAACGACCUCAACCUACCCUCAAACUUUAAAUGUGUGGGAACCGCGGCUUGUUU
rnacentral:rRNA from 1 species